AACGAACGCUGGCGGCAUGCCUAACACAUGCAAGUCGAACGAGACCUUCGGGUCUAGUGGCGCACGGGUGCGUAACGCGUGGGAACCUGCCCUUAGGUUCGGAAUAACUCCCCGAAAGGGGUGCUAAUACCGGAUAAUGUCUUCGGACCAAAGAUUUAUCGCCUUUGGAUGGGCCCGCGUUGGAUUAGCUAGUUGGUAGGGUAAAAGCCUACCAAGGCGACGAUCCAUAGCUGGUCUGAGAGGAUGCUCAGCCACACUGGGACUGAGACACGGCCCAGACUCCUACGGGAGGCAGCAGUGGGGAAUAUUGGACAAUGGGCGAAAGCCUGAUCCAGCAAGGCCGCGUGAGUGAUGAAGGCCUUAGGGUUGUAAAGCUCUUUUACCCGUGAUGAUAAUGACAGUACCGGGAGAAUAAGCUCCGGCUAACUCCGUG
rnacentral:rRNA from 1 species